GACUUGGGAGGAGCUAGAAUGAGAUUUGUUUUUCCUUUCCGUCGGGAACUGCCGACACCGCCUCGUGGGGGGGAGGGAAAUGAUCGUGUGAGCCCUUUGCGCAUGCGUAGCUAGCCAUCCAUCCUAUGAUUCUCUUCCUGAAGAACCUAGAAAAAGCAUCAGGUGGGGAUCGUAGCUGAAUGACUAUGUCCACAAUGGUAUAUCCCAGAGAGGAGAAAAUGGACAAGCUAAGCCAAGAGGAGAUCAUCUCAAACACCAAGCUUGUGAUGCAGGGGCUAGAGGCCCUAAAGAAUGAGCAUAACUCAAUCCUGCACAGCCUGCUGGAGACCAUCAAGUGUCUGAAGAAGGAUGAGGAAGCCAAUCUAGUGCACGAGAAAGCCAACCUGCUGCGCAAAUCUGUAGAGAUGAUUGAGCUGGGGCUUGGAGAGGCUCAGGUGAUGAUGGCUUUAUCAAACCACCUGAAUGCAGUGGAGUCUGAGAAGCAGAAAUUGCGGGCCCAGGUGCGCAGGCUGUGCCAGGAGAACCAGUGGCUGCGGGACGAGCUGGCAAACACCCAGCAGAAGCUGCAGCGCAGCGAGCAAACGGUGGCACAACUUGAGGAGGAAAAGAAGCAUCUGGAGUUUAUGAACCAGCUGAAGAAGUACGAUGAGGACGUGUCCCCGUCGGAGGAGAAAGAAGGUGACUCCACCAAAGAUUCCUUGGAUGACUUGUUUCCAAAUGAGGAAGAGGACCAGGGUCAAGAGUUGCCUCAUCCACACAGCAGCGCAGCAGCAGCUGCCCAGCAAGGUGGCUACGAGAUCCCGGCGCGCCUGCGCACGCUCCAUAACCUGGUGAUCCAGUAUGCUUCCCAGGGACGCUAUGAGGUGGCCGUACCUCUCUGCAAACAGGCGCUGGAGGACUUGGAGAAGACGUCGGGCCACGAUCAUCCGGAUGUAGCCACCAUGCUCAACAUCUUGGCCUUAGUAUAUAGGGAUCAGAACAAAUACAAGGAGGCAGCUCACCUUCUGAACGAUGCACUGUCCAUUAGGGAGAAGACACUUGGCAAGGACCAUCCUGCCGUUGCAGCAACCCUGAAUAACCUGGCUGUUCUCUAUGGCAAAAGAGGGAAAUACAAGGAGGCAGAACCAUUAUGCAAGCGAGCACUGGAAAUCCGGGAAAAGGUACUAGGCAAAGAUCACCCGGAUGUGGCCAAGCAGUUAAAUAACUUGGCUUUACUAUGCCAGAAUCAGGGCAAAUAUGAAGAGGUAGAAUAUUAUUACUGCCGGGCACUGCAGAUCUACGAGUCUCGCCUGGGGCCUGAUGACCCAAAUGUGGCUAAAACAAAGAACAAUCUGGCCUCCUGUUACCUGAAGCAAGCCAAAUAUAAGGACGCAGAAGUUCUCUACAAGGAGAUCCUCACCCGUGCCCAUGUGAAGGAAUUCGGCUCUGUGGAUGAUGAACACAAGCCUAUAUGGAUGCAUGCAGAAGAAAGGGAGGAGAUGAGCAAGAGCACGCACAGAGAAAGCACCCCAUAUGCAGAGUAUGGCGGCUGGUACAAGGCAUGCAAGGUCAGCAGCCCCACAGUGAACACCACCCUGCGGAACCUGGGUGCACUCUACAGGCGUCAGGGCAAACUGGAGGCUGCAGAAACUUUGGAAGAGUGUGCAAUGCGGUCCAGGAGACAGGGCAUUGACCCCAUUAACCAGACCAAGGUGGUAGAGAUUCUGAAAGAGGGCGACGGCUCUGAGAGGCGGAGGAGCCGAGACAGCCUGGGGGGCAGCGUCAAAUAUGAGAGCGCCACAGAUGGUAGCGAGGAAGUGAGUAUGGGCGUAGAAUGGAAUGGGAUGUUCAAGGGUACAGAGCAACUUGCUUGAGCCUUAAAGGAUGCCAAGGCCAUGGAUCUGCUAGAACUUCCUCUCAAGCUGAAAGGAGGCAGUGUCCAUGUUGGAUAUCUGUGCUGCAGUGUCCUGGCCUUAAGGCAUCUAAGAAUGGCUUAAAUGCCUGCUGAGACUCCUUUUCCCCCUCCACCUCCCCACAACCCCCAUUCACCACCAUCACCCGGACGCUUGUGUGCUGCUCCUUCCAGCUCUCCCCCUCCAAACCAUCUCCCCUUCUUCCACCUGCUGUGCUCAGCAAGGACUCCACAGCAGUCCCCCAGCCUUCCAUCACAGUGGGCACUGAGGAGCAGAGCAGCACCCGCAGACGAGGAGCGUCCAGCUGGCUGCACCAGGCUCGACUGCUACUAUAUCAACCAGCGAGAAAGAGAAAGAAGAAACUCUGUGAAUCUGCCUUUUCUCCCCCCCCCACGCAGCUCACCUCUGCCAGGGCUGGAUUUCAGCAGGACUCCUUGUGACUUCCUCGGUUCUCUUUCCUAUGUCUUAACGGGAGCCCGAAUGAACAUUUUCUGCUGUCUGAAGAUGUCCUUGUUCUCCCCAUUAUCUGCCCUGUUCAUCCUGGGUCCUUUCCACAUUCACAGCCUCCCAUCAUCCCUCUCCUUAUCUUGGAGUGUAAACUCAGAUUUUUUUUCUGCCUCCCAUUUUAGCUCUCUCCCCCAUCCUUGUCUUUUCCUCUGCCUCUUUUUUUUUCUUUCCCUUGAUGCUAAAGCGGAAGGUGGGGAGGGAAUAGGCAUUGGGAUAUCCCUAGCUUCAGACUGCAGGGAAAGUUAGGGAGAUGGUUGAAUUGUACUCUGUGGCCAGAGUGGGCAUGUGGCUCUCCUGAUGUUGUCGUUGGGCUCCCAACUUACCCUGGGGCCUUAUGGGUGAAGGGCAUGUGAGAAAUCAAAUAGAUAAAUAACUCUCAUCAGCCCCAGCCUGCAUGGGUGGUUGACAGGGAUGACAGGAGUUGUAGCGCAGCAAUAUCUGGAGGGCUACACGUUCCCCGUCCCUGCUCUUUGCUCUGUGUUUCUUUCCUGUUAAUCUGGUCAAGUGUGGGAUGCCAACAUGUCAUCUUGUAUGCCUGCAGCAGCAGCAGCUUAAAGGCCUUGCAGCCACCUUCUCGUAGUGAUUGGGCCUGAGGCCUGUACAGAUAGAGAUGGAUGUUGCUUCAAGCCUGUCUCCAUUCUCCUUGUUGGAUCCUUUUAGCCUAUCCUUACAGGCUUGUAAAAAGGACGAUGGAGCACAUCGUAAGAGAAUAAAAGUAUUGAAGGAUGUGCCAGGGCAAAAGUUGAAGAGACAGAAGUAUGAGCUGUGACUUCCUAAGGAGGACCUUAUUUUGACUGAGCUGGACAUAGUCUACCUCCCAAAUGGAAUGGAGGCAUUGAAGGUGGGUAGGCUAUAGGAGCAGGGACAGCCAUGGACAGUGUUCUCAUAAUAGAUCCAGUACUGGCCCUUCUGAUUAGACUUUAGUCUGGAUGUCUUCUGGCAGUCUAGCACUUCAAGAUGCCUGCAUUUCAGAAGAAACGGCCUCUCUAGGACUAUGAACUUGGGAAUGUUUCCUUGCACAAUUCCAUUUUCACAAGAGGAGCGAUAAUUGUAGGCGAGGGUGACUCGGCCACCACUGUUUUGUUGCCAUUCCUCCCAUGGGGCAAGGGGAAUGUGAUUGCAUAUUUACAUCUCUUUAAUUUAUUGUCAUGAACGUAACGUUUUUAUCAUGCUGUUGUUUAACACUGGAGAUUGCAAGGUCCCAGCCAAAAGUCACAAAAAACAAAACACACAUAGCGAUAAAUUUGGUGUGUCAGUAGCAACUGAAGCUGCUCCUUAUUUAAAAGUCUGGCCAAGUGAAGAGGGAGUUUGAACCACACAACCUAUACAAGAAGUCUGAAAUCUAAGGCUCUAGCAUGCAAGAGCAAGGAGCAGAGGCGAGCAGUAAUAGAUAGCUUCAGUUUUAAAUUUGGGGUAGGUUGGCCCACUGUGAUGGGACAUCCGAAAGAUUUUAAUGGAGGGGGAAAGAAUGUUGUUUUGGGGGUAUGAAAGUCUGUAGUAGAAGUGGGCUAGAAGUGUUUAUGAGAUGUGCAAUCGUAAUUGUGUUGGCUUGGAAGAUAAAUCUGCCUGGGUUCAAUGGCAUUUAUUCCCAGUCCCAGGUACAUAAGAUUGUAGCCUUUGUGGGCGCCAUGUCACUGAAUGCAUGAGGACAUGGCUUUAUAGGGAGCUGAGAUGGCAGUUUGGGGCAAGGAGAGGGAGAGAGGUUGUUCCUUCAUAAAGUGGGGUUUGCAGCAUGUUGACAGAUUUUGGGGGGUCUGUGUGAGGAUUUAGAGUUAGAAUGUUGGGCACGUUGGAUUAAAACUGAUUAGAGAGAGAGAAUACUAAGGUGCUAACUGGAAGGGAGUUGUUGCAUUUUCUGCACAGCAGAAUAGAAACCAAGUUUGGAGAGAUCUGGGGACGUGCUGGAGAGAAGUCUGCUGGCAUGUAAAGCAAUGUGGGGGGGAGAGGGGAACCUUUUUUGGCCCAAGAGCUGUAUUACUUCAUGGGUGACCUUCCAGGGACCACACAGCCAGUGUGGGCAGGACUAAAUCUAAAAAUGUGCUCGUGGCGGCUAUAUUCACACUCGGCUAACACACAUCCAUACACACUCUCCUCAUCUGUCGUCCCCCACCCACCCACCCACCCGCUUCCGCUGCCUGCUGCCUCGUAGUGCUACAGGCAGGGCCAAGCUGGCGACACAGGGCUACCUCCCUCCCUCAUCGGCUUGCUGCGUUUCCUUGCUGUGUGUGCGGAGAGAACCCCUCACCCCACCCUGUUUCUGAGCACACAGCAAAGGAGACAAGCAAGUGGGUGAUUCAGGAAAAGAGCAGGCUCUUCCUCCAUUGCCAGUGAACCUUGCCUCUCCGUGGGCCCUGUUUCCUCCACUUAGAUGAGCAGUGCUGACCCUUGCUUCCCAGGGAUCUCCCUCCCCCUUGCACUGCUCAGCUGAUCCACAGUAAAUAACUGAGAAGAAGGGAAGGUGGGGCUGCCAAGUUGGGGUGGCGGCCCAGGCAAGGAAAGAGGGCUGGCUAUAUUUGCCCUGCAGGUUCCCCAUCCCUAGCGAUGCCUGAGGGGAAACCUGGGUGUUAGGAUUUUCUGGACUGGGAAUCCAGCUUCUAAGCUUGCACUGGUGUUGGAUAUAGGACUCCUUUAUGUUUCUGAGGGGUAACCUGGUGCUUUGAGCCUCUUCCAGGGCAUGUGAGAGGAUUUUUUUCUCCAUCUCUCAUUCCCAUGCAUAGCUUUUGUGCCUGUUUUUGAUGUGAUUCAAUGUUUUUGUGAGUAUAGCUGGCUUUAAAGGAAGAUGACGGCGACUAGAUAUGUUUAUAAAUUAGAAUUAGAGCUAGGUGUUAGGUAAGAUGUAUGCACCCUUUUGCUUCUGGUGCCCAUAACUAUUGACUGCUGGACGCUGGAACUGAAUCACUAGAGUAUGCCAUUUUUGGCCUGUGCUGUUCUUUUUUGAAGCAGCUGGAGUUGCUCACUGCUGGAGGCUGAAUGCCCAGACCCAGAACGGAGGUUCUCAGGUGGAGUUGUGCAGCAGGAUGCUUUGAAAGCUGUAGGGCCUAAAUGCCUUUUGUAGCUCCUUUUGGGAAUCCCUUUGCUGCUGUAGUGGAGCUUUCUGCUUUGCCCUUCUGCUUCUGAAAAGGGGCUGCUCAUGCAUGCCUGGGGCAGGGGAGCUGCUGCCUCCCCUACAAAGGGAGCAGGUAGUGAGAGGUGUGACCCAUCUGGAGGUGACGCAAGCAGAGCUUGGACAAGUUACUUUUUUUGAACUACAACUCCCAUCAGCCCCAGCCAGCAUGGCUGCUGGAUUGGGCUGAUGGGAGUUGUAGUUCAAAAAAGUAAAUUUUCCAAGCUCUGCACAAGCUGCAAUUGCAAAGAGUUUCUUAGACUAGUUUUACCCAAGGUUGUGGUCCUGGCCUGCAUGGGGAGGGGGAGGGGGGUCUCACCCAGGAUGCUGUGAAGAAGCCUCUGGAGCCUGUCCUGGAAAGCUGCUCCCAGUGGCUCCCCUUAGAGUGAUGGAGCUUUUAUCAGCUGUCUGCCCAGCUCUACGUUUUGCCUUGCACUGGGCUGCCCACAAGCCUUUUCCUUUCCUUUUUCUCUUUUUUAACAGCAGUAGUUGGGGGUACUGAAAAUGUGUUCCACUCUCUGCCUUUGACACAUACUUGGUGCUUUCCUUUAAUGGUGUGAACUGAUUUACCUCCAAUUAAAGGCAGAAGGACUUGAACCCCUUCUUCUCUGUGACUCUUUUCACUAUGCGAUAUUCUUCUUUUAAGUAUUGUUGUCUCUUUCCUCUGAGGAGAAAUCUUUAGGCUUCGGUGCACUGCUGAUUCUCUGUUGUGAAGAUCAGCCAGCAAAGAGACCUUAGAAACGUGUGUAUAGUAAGAAUGAAGCACCCGACUCGUGCGUGUGUAUCCCUGUGUGUGUGUGCAUGUGCCUAUGAUGGAGAGCGCGAGAGAGGCAUGCCUGUGGAAAGGAAUCACUGCUCCCUGUAGAGUAACCACCAUGCACACAACCACUCAAUCAAACUGGAGGUGAAAACAGAAGCUUUAAGAAGAUUUGCUUUUUCAAAAUGAUUGCUGAUUGGUACGGUCUGUUUUUCAGUGUUCUGAGAAUCCACACCUCUAAGGGAAAAUGUUUCAUGCAUUUAUAGGAAUAAUAAAAUAUUAAUCAUUGCUGUGGAACAGUAGCAUGCAUACAGUUCAGCAGUGGACCUGGAUUCAUGUCCACUUCCCUGUACUGUUUCUUCUCUCUCUUGCCCCAAGCUUCCCUUGCUAGUCCCGGUUGCUUUCCAGGGCAUCACAGUACACCAGCGCUGCAAGCCCCAGCAAGAAUGUGUAUCUUGUUCCUCAUUUUCUUCCAGCUUCCAUAUUCCAAGAA